CGUAGGUGGCAAGCGCUGUCCGGAUUUAUUGGGCGUAAAGCGAGCGCAGGCGGAAUGAUAAGUCUGAUGUGAAAGCCCACGGCUCAACCGUGGAACUGCAUCGGAAACUGUCAUUCUUGAGUGCAGAAGAGGAGAGUGGAAUUCCAUGUGUAGCGGUGGAAUGCGUAGAUAUAUGGAAGAACACCAGUGGCGAAGGCGGCUCUCUGGUCUGCAACUGACGCUGAGGCUCGAAAGCAUGGGUAGCGAACAGGAUU
rnacentral:rRNA from 1 species